UCCUCCCAGUAUAGUCCUACUCUGCCCUUAGUGCAGGUCUACUAGUAGAGGCUAUUGUUACUUGAUUAAAGGAAAGACUUGAUUAAAGGGGUAUAGGCCCCUGUACAUUGCUUGAAAGAGUAUAGGUCCCAGCUUGCCUGACUUAAAGAGGUUAGCGUCCCUUGCAGCCUCCAGGGCUGCCAAGGAAAUGGGAGGCAGCUGCCUUAGGGUGCCUGGACUUGCAUUCCUCCUCUUGCUGGUUUUGCCCCCUCUGCUGCCAAGCAGUGGGUCCUACCAGCAGAGAGCCCCGACCUGGCUAGAUUUCCACCACCUCACUCGGGCCAGGAGAAGCCUCCCCAGCAACACCAACCAGGAUGGGGAGAGCACCCGCCAGGGCCACAGCCAGGACACCGGGUCCAGGGAGAGGCUGGCAGAUCACGAGAAAUCCUGCCAGAACAAUCUUGACCUCUAUUUAAUCUUGGACAAGUCAGGAAGUGUGGACAACAACUGGAUAUUUAUAUAUGGCUUCAUAGAGGAUUUCCUCAAAAUAUUUGAAAACCCGAACAUGCGCGUCUCCAUCAUCACCUUCUUCACAAGGGGCCACACCGUCCUACAGCUCACCUCGGACUGGAAACUAUGAUGUAGGCGUCUUUGGAUGAGGUUUUCAUAACACCAAAAACAAAAACGAUGUUCUCUGCAGAUUUCAAAUAAGUGACACCGUAUUUUUUGAUAAAAAAGCCACCCAGGUGGAAGACACCAGCAUAAAGUGUCCGGGAGUGAAGAUAGAGAUACCAGCCAACGAUAUCUCUGUUGAAGUGAGCCUGAACAACGGUGCCAGCUUCAUCAGCAACGGGCUCAAGAUCAGCAGCAAGGACUGUGGAGGUCACAGGACCGGCCAGAGGAUGCGCAUGAGCCCCUCAGGAUUCCUGCCUACGCACAGCUCGUCUGUCAUCAGGCCCAUGAGGAAAGUCCUCAGGAGAAACGCAGGUCUGGUCCAGGUACAGCAGCCACCUGACCCUUCCAAUGCGGCAGCGGCAGGUCCCGGAAAUCAAGGAUCACAGUUUCCCAACAUCAACCCUUACCACUUGGCUGCGUGCAUGCUGGUACUAAUACCUCUGAUGAUAGGGUGCUUGUGGCUACUCCACCGCAGAAAGAACAAGAUGGUGCUAAGUUGCGUUUCGUUUCUGAUGCCCACACAGACCUGCACAAGAAAGCCGCCUGAGCUGUAGGAUAUCUCUAUUUCCCACCCCACCAUCUCCACCUACCUGGACAGAGAGAGCUGGCAGAAAGCAGGGUGACAGAGGGGCAGGGAGGGACAAGUGGGAGGACCUAGGACUCACAAAAUGGCAUCAGAGACACCCUCUCCAAGCUCCCAACGGUCUGAUCCAGAGCCUCCAUCACACUAUAAAUUGCAGUAGCUGUUGCAGCAAGUGCCAUGAUCCACAGUGACAUGACCAGGGCUUUCCUUUUGGUUUUGUGUGUCAGUUCCCAACAAUUGGUCAUUGGCUGGUCCUUCCCUGGGUUUAGUGAGCAGUUGGAAAAGGAAUCUCAGGGUUCCAGUACUGGUCACUCCCCUGCAGUCUCUGAUCCUGUUGGGUAGCAUUUCUUUGGUUUCCUCCCUGUCUCCUGGCUGGCUGGGAUUUGGCUGGGUUUGUCCUUUGGGCACUUAAGAGCUGAGGAGGGCGGAGGGAGUCAGUCCUCCCAUGAACUGUGAGGGAGGCCCAGGCCAAGUACACCAGGGACCAAGGUCAGCUGAGCUGCCUGUGGCUCUCCCCGGUAAGGAGGCCCAAAAAGGACCCAUAGAAUGUGCACAGCAGGCCACUGUGACCUAUUAAGGGGAGACCUAGGAAGCAGGCCCCACUCAGAGGCUGCCUUCGGUGCUGCUGCACUGUGGUCAGGGAGGCUGCAUCAGCCAACACCAGGCCAAUCAGCCUCUGCUGAUGCUCCUCCCCAAAGUCCACCUUUAAAUUGUAAAACCCCAAGACCAGGCCUCUCCAAAGGGCAGCCUCAGAAACCCAGGCAGCCUGAGAAAAUUUGCUGUCUAUUUGGGGAAGGAUCUUCCUUGCAAAAUACGUAGAGGUUGCUUUUGCUUCCCACGGAAGGCCUCCCCUGCAGCACAGAGUGCUGCUAAUCAGUUGUCCUUGAAUCCUCCCAACAAACUUUAGCUGAGGGGCCAGAAGUUGACAGGUGCUAGGGGAACAAUUCAUGUCUCUGAACCCCAGAAAUGCCAGACAAAAGCUUUCUCUUCCUAGGAAACUUGUUUACAAACGUGCACCACGGUGGUGGUCCCUUGUGGUGGAGAUGACAACCCAAGACACCUAGAGGACAAACUGGACACUCUGCGCAUGCAGAUCAUGUGCAACAUAUUACAAAACCACAACCAGGGCCCAGUGAUAUGUCAUAGCCCAGGCGCAAGCCAUGUCCCUUACUUAGGUCCGGAGGAGGGAGGAUGCGCAGGUACCCACGCUGCUGCCUGCAACCCAGCCUGGCGUGCUGUCCCCUCAACUGCUGUUGGACGCAUUGCCCAUAUGCCCCGUGCCGACCUCCCCCACUCAUAUGCUCCCAGCCUCCCCGACCCAUAUGCUCCCGGCCCCCACAAUCGGUCUGCUCCAGGCAGCCCUCCAGGAUGUUGCCAAUGAUCCCUGGCGCAAUGGGAAGAUGUGGUGCAAUCCCUUUGGCACUCCUACCCCCAUAACCCAGUCAUUAAAUCCUCCAAAUCCAAGAUAAAGUUCUUUAUGUGCUU